GAAUGGAUGUUAUUUGGCUGUGGCCACACCGUAAAAUUUGGAGCACUUACCGUGCCAGCGACUGUAAACUCCUCCAGGACGAAAUCCGACCGGGUGUGGAGUACCGACCUUAAAAAUCACUGAAGUGUGUGUAGUGCAGUGGGUGAGUCUGUCUUUGACGUGUGUACACCGAAGUUUUGCAGUGUUGUGCCGUGUCCCUGUUGUCUGUACUCGCCCUCCAGGCCGAGAAAAGUUCCUGUUGGAGAGAACGUAGGCUGCCGUGGCAGUGCCCACCUAUCCCACCUACGCCCGCCUAUAACUCCGUUCCCCGUACCUAGCCUGAAGGAGGUGAAGCGUGAAUGCAAAACAAGGGACUUGUGUGUUACCUUGUACUUACCUAGGAGGUCUAUGGGAGUGGAGGAGCUGUCCAGACGCUGGAGAAGAGAAGGGCGCCACGGGAAAUCAAGCCGCUAAGGAAGGACUUAGGAUCAGUCAGGAGAUUGGUGGGAGUUCUGUGAAAGGACGAAAGAGCCCUUUGCCCCCCCCCAACGACCUCCAGAGUUCUCAGGCCCAGUCCCCUCCUGUCAAGAGACGAAAAUCCAAAUUUUAGAUUCCCCUUUCUCCUUUCCUAAAUU